GGUCUGAAAGAAGCAGGCAGGGCCCUGAGAGGGGAGGUGGUGGGAAAGCGCUUCUAGGGGGAAAAUGCUGGGAGGCAGGGCUCGGCUUAAGACACAUGCUGCAUUGCUUGGGAGUGGGGUAAAGAGCAGAGCACUCUGACACAGCUCAAGGGGGCUGAAGCACUGGUGGGUUACUUUCUCACUGGAAAGGGACCAGGCUGGAGGGCUGGGCCAUGGAAGAUGUGGCUUGAGAACAACAGACAAUAGCUGUAAGGAAUGUAGUCUUGCAGCUGUGCCCCUCCAGUCUCAGGGCAGCCUCUGAGCACAGCUGAGCUGCAGCAGGGCCACCUGAUUGACUGCUCUGUCUGAAUGGCCAAGGAAGCCAACAGUCCUUCUCUUAAGCCUGACAGCAACAGCUGACUUCUGGCUGGUCAAUACACACUUCCACAGCUGUGAGCUCUCUCCUGUGUUGCCCAGUCUGUUCCUGAGCUGCUCAAUUCAUGAUUCCAACUCUGAUCCUCACCGUGUCCCUUGCUGCUGACUCUAGCUCUGACCACUAGAUAGUGUUCCAAUAUUUCCACUACAAGAAUGGCAGUUCUUCUGGAGCUUAUGUACCCUUUGACUUAAGAAGUGCUCAAAAACUCAGGAGAAAGGAAACGUUCUCUGGAGUGUUCCUGCAUGACAGCUGGACAGAAGAUGUCUGGACAGAAAGCCAGAGGAAGCAUCUACCAGCAAAACUAGGUCGUUUUGUUUCUACUUGAUUCAAACUACUGUAGAUUCUCAUAUCUCUAAUGCUGCUGCUGCUCCAGGCCGGUCUGAGCAGCCCCAUUUUCUCUCAUUACUCUGACUUGCAGUUGUAAGAUGUACGUUUCUGCAUCCACAGACAGUCAUCAGAAAGUAUCCAUUGUCUGGGCAGUGGCAGGAAGAGAGAGGCAGGGAGACCACAUCCAUACAGAUCUCUAUGUCAGAACAGAAUGGAUAGGGAAAAUGGACAACAGAAGUAAGAACAUCAAUGGAGCUGUCUGCCGAUUUACACCAAUGGAAGGUCUAGCCCAAGGAGAGCCAAGCGACAGGGUGACCUCUUGUCAUUUUCAUGCUAAUUUCCCCAUUUUUAAAUGUUCCUAUUCUGCGGUGUAUGCGAGGUACAAAUAAACCAAGCUCUCUCUCUUAGUUGUGUGCGUCCCCUGCAGUCAUCUCUACAAACUGAGAGCAAGGGAAGUAUGGUGUGAAGACAGUUGAUACACAGCACACCAGGAUGCACCAAAGUUCUCACCAAGUAUGGCUGCCUUGUUAGAAUGAGCAGUAUCUUGGAUCAGUAAAUGCCAUCUCGUGCCAAAUGCUGCAGAAGAAAUAUCUAAUUCGGCUAAGUGCUUGGCAAAGGGACAUUUACAUGUGGCAAUAACUGCAAAAGACUAUCAGAGUCAGUAUUACUCGUCACACUAUGAAAAGUUCAUGCCCAGAGUAGUUAAUCUGAGGAAGCAGCACUUCAGUGGUUUCUGAAUGUCUGAAAUUACCCUGACUGAAGUAAAACCCAGUGACAGGGGCUUUGCAAUGUUAUUAUACCAGCUACAUAAAGUGGGGGAGAAAGGAAUCAGAAUUGUCACUGUAGUUUCUUUGGCACAGAUGUUGAUGUGAUGUCUGCAAAGCAAC